rnacentral:ncRNA from 1 species
CCCUGCGGAAAGGCAGGGAUAUUAAAAUAAAACAAGAAGACCCUAUGGAACGUAAAUGAAUUAGUCUACAUAACGCAACUUUAACCUAACUAUUCAAAGGAAUAACACCUAAUCUACCAGACUAAAAAUUUUGGUUGAGGUGACUUCAGAGUACAACACAACAUCCAAAUGAUUAAAAUCUAGACUAGACCAGUCAAAGUGACAUAAUCGCUUAUUAACAUAAGCAAUUUAAUCAAUGGAACAAAUUACCCUAGGGAUAACAACACAACCCUAUUUUAGAGUUUGUUAUCAACAACAGGGUUUGCAACCUCAAUGUUGGAUCAGGACAUUCCAAAGGUGUAACGACUAUUAAUGAAUGGUUCGUUUCUUCAAUAAUUAAAGUCCUAUGUGGUCUGAGUUCAGACCGGAGCAAUCCAGAUCUAUUUCUACCUAUUCAGU